rnacentral:rRNA from 1 species
UACAGAGGUCUCAAGCGUUGUUCGGAAUCACUGGGCGUAAAGGGUGCGUAGGCGGCGAGGAAAGUCAGAUGUGAAAUCCGAGGGCUCAACCCUCGAAUGGCAUCCGAAACUUCCCCGCUCGAGAUUUGUAGAGGAGUCUGGAACUCUCGGUGUAGCAGUGAAAUGCGUGGAUAUCGAGAAGAACGCUCGUAGCGAAGGCGAGGCUCUGGGCAAAUUCUGACGCUGAGGCACGAAGGCUAGGGGAGCAAACGGG